GGAGAGUUUGAUCCUGGCUCAGGACGAACGCUGGCGGCGUGCUUAACACAUGCAAGUCGAGCGGUAAGGCCCUUCGGGGUACACGAGCGGCGAACGGGUGAGUAACACGUGGGUGAUCUGCCUUGCACUCUGGGAUAAGCCUGGGAAACUGGGUCUAAUACCGGAUAUGAGCCUGAACUGCAUGGUUCGGGUUGGAAAGAUUUAUCGGUGCGAGAUGGGCCCGCGGCCUAUCAGCUUGUUGGUGAGGUAACGGCUCACCAAGGCGACGACGGGUAGCCGGCCUGAGAGGGCGACCGGCCACACUGGGACUGAGACACGGCCCAGACUCCUACGGGAGGCAGCAGUGGGGAAUAUUGCACAAUGGGCGAAAGCCUGAUGCAGCGACGCCGCGUGAGGGAUGACGGCCUUCGGGUUGUAAACCUCUUUCGACAGGGACGAAGCGCAAGUGACGGUACCUGUAGAAGAAGCACCGGCUAACUACGUGCCAGCAGCCGCGGUAAUACGUAGGGUGCGAGCGUUGUCCGGAAUGACUGGGCGUAAAGAGCUUGUAGGCGGUCUGUCACGUCGGUCGUGAAAACUCACAGCUCAACUGUGGGCCUGCGGUCGAUACGGGCAGACUAGAGUACUUCAGGGGAGACUGGAAUUCCUGGUGAAGCGGUGAAAUGC
rnacentral:rRNA from 1 species